GUCCGCCCGGCAACCGCUCCGCCUAGCGGAAGUACGUGCAGCAACUUCCUCCCGCUGGGCGCUCUAUCCUGCUUUAAGCACUUGGAGGACUUCGGGGUGGCUCGGAGAACCUCAGCCAGGUUAGCCAGACCUUCAUCUGGCGGGCCUUUGCCUCCUGGGGUGUUUAUGGCGAGUUCAGGAGUUGGUCAGCCUCUGCAACAGCUACAAUGGAUUCUAGUUACCAGCAUUUAUCGAGCCCCACAAGUGGCUAAUUAAUGCAUCCAAUGAUAAGAGCCUUUGGAGAGACGUCUUCCUCUGUGGCCCAGCCACGGUCCCUGCAGCAAACGGCCUUCGCCAGCUCCGCUUGGCUCCAGGACCGCCCUGAGAACAUUCACUGCCCACGUCGACCUUGCGCGUGAUAAAUCAUGAGCGAUCGCUGCUCCUAGAAGGGCGUGCAGCUCCCGGCUCUGGCCAGGCCGGGUGCUCUGGUCAAUAAAACCAGCCUGAUUCCUGCGCCCCCGCGUGUGACCCU
rnacentral:lncRNA from 1 species